rnacentral:sRNA from 1 species
GUAUAUGAUGCCUUUUAAUAUAUUGGACAGUCAAUCUCUUUAUGAUUCUCUAUUUCUCUGUAUAACUAGUUAUAUGUAUUUCUUUAUUUUUGAAAAAUUGUUCAGGAUUGCAUUCUAUAGACCUUCCUAUAAUGCAUACCACUAUGCUUUGCACAUGAGUGCUUAAUAUUUUCAAGGACCACAGUUGUUACGGAGUUAAAUCUUUUAAAGUGCAUUUGAAAAAAUUCUCAGUGUUACCUUUUGUUUUUGUUUCUUGAUGACAGAAAUAAUAUAUGCUCACAAUCAGAAGAGAAAUCACUCAACUCUAUAAAUAGAAAUUGUUUUAUAAUAGUUCGUCUGUUUUUUUGUUUUGUUUUGUCUUUUUGUUUUUUUCCGAGACCGAGUCUCGUUCUGCCGCCAGGCUGGAGUGCGGUGGUGUGAUCUCAGCUCACUGCAACCCCUGCCUCCCGGGUUCAAGCAAUUCUCCUGCCUCAGCCUUCCGAGUAGCUGGGACUACAGUUACUGGACCAUUAUCAGAAUUGCAAAUAGCCUAUGUAUGCAGAGAAACCUUACAGGGUCUUGCCUAUUUGCAUACUAAAGGCAAAAUGCAUAGAGAUAUCAAAGGUGCUAAUAUUUUAUUGACAGACCAUGGCGAUGUAAAAUUAGCUGACUUUGGUGUGGCUGCAAAAAUAACAGCUACCAUUGCAAAACGAAAAUCUUUCAUUGGCACCCCUUACUGGAUGGCCCCAGAAGUUGCAGCAGUAGAGAAGAAUGGUGGCUACAACCAACUCUGUGAUAUCUGGGCAGUAGGAAUAACAGCAAUUGAACUUGGAGAACUUCAACCACCUAUGUUUGAUCUCCACCCAAUGAGGGCUCUCUUCUUAAUGUCAAAAAGUAAUUUUCAGCCUCCAAAACUAAAGGACAAAACAAAAUGGUCAUCAACAUUCCAUAAUUUUGUCAAAAUAGCACUAACCAAAAACCCAAAAAAAAGACCAACUGCUGAAAGACUUCUGACUCACACUUUUGUUGCACAGCCAGGUCUCUCUAGAGCCCUAGCAGUUGAACUGUUAGACAAAGUGAACAAUCCAGAUAACCAUGCACAUUA